rnacentral:snRNA from 1 species
GGAUGUGAGGGUGAUAUGGCUGCAACAUAUCACCCUCAUUGAUCACCAGGGUUGAUUCAGCUGAUCUGGCUGGCUAGGCAGGUGUCUCCUUCCUCCCUCAUCACUCCAUGUGCAUCCCUCCUGAAGCUGCACACUCAGUUGAAGAGGACUGAAGAGGACGACCAUCCCCAAUAGAGUUUGAAGAGGAUGACCAACACCAAUAGAGGAGGACUGUUCUAGCGCUCCCCUGCUAGAACCUCCAAACAAGCUCUCAAAUUCAGUAAUGUUGCACGUUAUAGAAUCAACUUAUAAAAAUAAUCAUGUCUAUAU